rnacentral:rRNA from 1 species
CAAUAGCGUAUAUUUAAGUUGUUGCAGUUAAAAAGCUCGUAGUUGGAUUUCGGAUGGGACUUGCCGGUCCGUCGUUUCGAUGUGCACUGGCCAGUCCUAUCUUGUUGUCGGGGACUAGCUCCUGGGCUUCACUGUCCGGGACUAGGAGCUGACGAGGUUACUUUGAGUAAAUUAGAGUGUUCAAAGCAAGCCUACGCUCUGAAUACAUUAGCAUGGAAUAACACGAUAGGACUCUGGCUUAUCUUGUUGGUCUGUGAGACCAGAGUAAUGAUUAAGAGGGACAGUCGGGGGCAUUCGUAUUUUAUUGUCAGAGGUGAAAUUCUUGGAUUUAUGAAAGACGAACUUCUGCGAAAGCAUUUGUCAAGGAUGUUUUCAUUAA